CGCCCCCGCGACGAGCGGAGGCGGCGAUGCGGGCGGUCGCGGAGGUGCGCGUCCCCGCCCGCCCGGUGGCCCGCGGAAACGCGCUCCCUGCCGGAGCCUCUUUGGGAAACCAUCGGAGGGGGGCGACUGAGGCGGGGAGACGCGACAGCUGUCUGCAGGCGUCCCGAGACCCGGGGCCUGGGCACCUGCGGGGCGCCAGCUUGCUUGUGCCCUUCGCUGCGUCGGGGUGACCGCGGCCGGCACUCUCGGGGCUCAGUUUCCCCCUGUGUACAGUGGGCGACGGCGACCUCCGGGCUAGAAGGCACGUUCCGUGAGCACUUCCGGGACUCGGUCAUGGGGCCGGCCUAGCGCGGGGAGGGUGGCCUGUGCUGUCCACCCUGCUGCUGCUUCUCUGGAGGCUCUGCCCAGGGCAGGUUCCCAGGAUGCCCCUUUCUGCAACCCCUUCUUUGCUUCGGAACCUAAUUCCCAGGGCCUGCAGCGGCUUCCUGUGUGCGUCUUACUCUCUCCUCAUGAAAUGGGCUAGGCCUCGCCGCGCUGUGACCUAAGCUCCUUACGCUAGAUUGUCUUCCAGGAAAAGACCUUUCAGAACUUGGAACGGCUUUUCAGGAAUGUGCCUGUCCUCGGAGAGACCUAAACAGAAGCCAGGCCACCCAGUCCAGGAUGUCGGGAGCUCACAGUCCUCUGCUUAGAACAUGUCUAUCCAGAAAAGCAGCAGACCUAGGUGUCCCGGGCAUCUGAACACCAGGGUCACCUUCCCUUCCUAAGAAGCCCCUGCCGUCAAUCAGGAGGAGCAGCCUGGAGCUGGGGGCCUUGGCCUCCCGUCUCCGCCCCCGAAAGCCUUUCACCCUGCAGACACCGGUGUCCUAGGUGCUGGCUUCCGUGGGCACUGGCAGUGAGCUCCUCCUCACGGGUGUCCCUCCACCCAUGCCCACGUCCUUCCCUACCAGGACUGGCUCCGUCAUAAUUUAUAGGCCCCAAUUCAAAAUGAAAACAUGGGGUCUGUGGUUCAAAAAUCAUUAAGAAUUCCAAGAAGGGGACCACAGAGCAUCCAGCCCUGCUGAGCAGGGGCCCUUCUGAGAGGGGCCCGGGGCGACCCUCAGAUCCCAGGCCAGGGAAAAAAAAGUCCGUCUUUCCCCAAGCCCUCCCCCACCUCAGUGAUUUGGGAAACACUUAUUUAUCAAUUCUACUGUGUUAAAAUAGAGGUGAUAUAAAAGGCA